CGUUGAACCACCGGUUCACGUACGAUCACUGAAGUUAAGCACCGUACGGUACGAUCACCAAAGUUAAGCAACGUCGAACCAGAUCAGUAUUGAGAUGGGUGACCACUUGGGAAUACCGCGUGCUGUAUU